rnacentral:tRNA from 1 species
GGCUCUGUGGCGCAAUGGAUAGCGCAUUGGACUUCUAGGCUGUGAGCUGAGCCAUUUAAAGGUUGUGGGUUCGAGUCCCACCAGAGUUG